rnacentral:rRNA from 1 species
CCUACGGGUGGCUGCAGUCGAGAAUCUUUCACAAUGGGGGCAACCCUGAUGGAGCGACGCCGCGUGGAGGAUAAGGUCUUCGGAUUGUAAACUCCUGUCAUGCGAGAACAAGGUUGCAGGGCUAACACCUUUGCAAAUUGAUGGUACCGCAAGAGGAAGAGACGGCUAACUCUGUGCCAGCAGCCGCGGUAAUACAGAGGUCUCAAGCGUGGUUGUGAAUCGUGGGUCGGUGAGGUGGCGAGGCAGAUGUGAAAGCCCGGGGCUCAACCUCGGAAUUGCAUCCGAUACUGCCAUGCUGGAGUACUGAAGAGGUGACUAGAAUUCUAGGUGUAGCAGUGAAAUGCGUAGAUAUCUAGAGGAAUACCAACGGCGAAGGCAGGUCACUGGGCAGUUACUGACACUGAGGCACGAAGGCCAGGGGAGCAAACGGGAUUAGAUACCCCAGUAGUC